AACGAACGCUGGCGGCAGGCCUAACACAUGCAAGUCGAACGCCCAGCAAUGGGAGUGGCGCACGGGUGAGUAACUCGUGGGAAUUUACCCUUUAGUACGUAAUAACCUCGGGUAACUGGGAUUAAUACCGUAUACGCCCUUCGGGGGAAAGAUUUAUCGGUAAAGGAUCAGCCCGCGUGAGAUUAGAUAGUUGGUGGGGUAAUGGCCUACCAAAGCUACGAUCUCUAGCUGGUCUGAGAGGACGACCAGCCACACUGGAACGGAGACACGGUCCAGACUCCUACGGGAGGCAGCAGUGGGGAAUAUUGGACAAUGGGCGAAAGCCUGAUCCAGCCAUGCCGCGUGAGUGAUGAAGGCCUUAGGGUUGUAAAGCUCUUUCGGUGGUGACGAUAAUGACGGUAACCACAUAAGAAGCCCCGGCUAACUUCGUGCCAGCAGCCGCAGUAA
rnacentral:rRNA from 1 species